UGGUAAACUUUUUCUCUUUUUGGUGG
rnacentral:piRNA from 1 species